UUUUUUCCAUGACAUGAAAAACGGUUGUGUGUGCGCGGCAUUAGGCAUUAGACAGUUUUUAACACAGGAUUGUGGUGAGGAAGGGAGGACAGUCUCCUUUUAGAUUUGCUUAAUGAAUCUUAAAAUUAUGGGUUUGGUUCUUCCUGGUGAAGGGGGUAAAAGUGGAGUUGAAUUUUAGGAAUGCUUUCAUUUUUCAGAUCUUGACUCUUGAAAUGGUCUUCUCUGGAAUUGGACUCUGAAAUCUGCAUCAUAAUAUAUAAUUAUCUUGAUUGAAGCUGCUCAACAAGAUACAUAAAAAACAGUGAACUUCUAUUUGAAAAUAAUUGUUACCUUCUUGUCUUCACUCCCCAUAUCUUAAGGGUAACGUGGUCAUUGGGCAAACCUUGCUAGAUACAGUAAGUCAAAUGCAUGAACUGUUCAGUACCGUAUCAUGCAUGUUGAUGUGGGAGGAGACAGGAAGCAAAACAGUUUAAUUAUUGCACAUUAUGUGGAUGAGUAGUUACAUAUGGAGAGAGGAUCAGCAGAUAACACACAAUCUUUACAGAUCUCAUAUAAAAAAUAUAAACAUUUAUAUAAACAGCUUUGUUCUUGCACAGAUGUUAAAACUUGCAACAUGUUCAAAGAACUUUUUGCCAUUUUAUUAAUAAACAUUCUUCCAGGUCUGUGCCAGGAGGUGAAGGUCGAUCAGGGUCAUAAGCUUCUAAUAGUCAAAAAAGGGGAACCAGUGAAGCUUUCAUGCAAGCAUUAUAUUGAGAGUAACUAUGCUAUGUUUUGGUACCAGCAGAAAGCAGGAGAAGGUCUGCAGCUUAUGGUAUAUUCAACAGAUGCCAAAUCGGGUGAAAUGGAAACGUUGUACAAAGCCUGGACUUUUAAUAGGCCUCACGUUCUGAAUUCCACACUGAGCCUGGCAGCAGCAGAUCCUCAGCUCUCUGCUGUGUAUUUCUGUACAGUCAGUAGGCACAGCUACAGACAGCGAAUUACCUGCCGGCAUAAAACCUGCCAAUCUCAGAGGACACGUUAUAUUGAUGACAUACAGAACUACUCACAGAAUGGCCAACAGGGAGAGCAGUUUUCUGUUUUCUCUACUUUAUAGAACCUAUUAAUAAAGGAUUCAUAUUUUUACUAUUUCUUUCCUGUAAGAAUUUAGAAAACUUUUAUAUUUGCAAAGAAACAUUUUAUUCUGCUUAAUCUCUCCUAAUUACAAGGACACCUUUUUGUUUACAAAUAAAUACAUUGAAUUAAAUCUAUUUU